rnacentral:rRNA from 1 species
UACUAGCACCCCGAGUGGUAGGGACGAUUAUUGGGCCUAAAGCAUCCGUAGCCGGUUCUACAAGUCUUCCGUUAAAUCCACCUGCUCAACAGAUGGGCUGCGGAGGAUACUAUAGAGCUAGGAGGCGGGAGAGGCAAGCGGUACUUAGUGGGUAGGGGUAAAAUCCGUUGAUCCAUUGAAGACCACCAGUGGCGAAGGCGGCUUGCCAGAACGCACUCGACGGUGAGGGAUGAAAGCUGGGGGAGCAAACCGG